CCAUCAGAUUUUAUAAACCUAAAAAAAACCUUCUUCAUCUUCAACCUUAAGACCCUAAGAGACCUAAACCCCUCUCAGCCGUUCCAUGUUCUUCACCUCACAACCAAGAAAAUUCCUUCAACACCAAUCAACCAACCAACCUAAUUCCUCCUAAGCUAAGGAAGCAGUCGUAGCCCUCCCCCCUCCCCCCCCCCCACACACAAAAAAACCCCAUUCCCUUCAACAUCUGAUCUUCCUCACAAAUGAAAAGGGCACCUUAGUAUUUCCUGAACCACCACCCUAAUCUCUAAGACCAGACCCAAAAUUGGCCAUGAACCAUAAGAGAAGAAAGAGGUAGCUGAAAAAUCCCUUCCUCUGGGCCUACUACUGCCUCCAAUUUUUCAAAAUGAACGACCCUCGAACUAUAAUUUUCCAACAUUCAAACACACGCACACACGGACAAAGUAAAGAACGGAAUUCCUCCAAGAGCCGCUCGAGUCCCUUUCCCCAUUUCUCCAGCUCUCGUCCUUUCUAUGAUUGCCGCUGCCGUAUGUGGUGACCGGUGACGGCCAUGACUGUUGUUGCGGCUGAAAUCUGUUUUUGCCGAGUGGUAUCGAAAUCGGGGCAUUGAAGUCGUUUGAGUUCGUAGUCUGAGGUUUCCGGACAGAUUUGCAGUUCCCAUUGCUUCUCCCUGUUUAUGAUCGAGUAUCAUUGUUUUGGGGACUAUCUCUAAUGCAAAACAGAAGUGGAAUUUCGUCUCUACAUUAAGGUCCAUUUUUUUACUACUUUGCUAUUUCAUUUCUAACUAAUGAUGUUUGUUUGCCUCUUAUGCUUUUUUUUCUGUUUUGUACGAGUACUUCUCAUGUGUAAUGUGAUGGGUGUAUCGUAUUUGAUUAUUAUUAGUUUAAUAUAUCAAGGUAGCAAGGUAGUUGUUAGAAUUGAUCAAAAAAUUUAUUUGAUUGAAUCGAUCUAGGAAAACCUGUAUAAUUGAUGUUGAAUACAUAUUAGUUAGAGGAAACAAUGGAUAGUGGGUUUGGGAAUUCAAAGUAAAAGAAUUGCUUCAUUAAUUUGAUCGCCAGGAGCAUAUUUAGGCCGUCAGUUGGGUAGGCAAGCCGUAUGAUUUUUGUUAGUUUUGAGGUGAUAGGUCGUUCCCUUAGUUAUAUUUAUCCGGGUAAUGCCCCGAAGUAUUUUUAUAUAUUUUAUUCCGGGGAAUGCCCCGUAGUAUUCUGUAAUUGGAGGCCGAAAGCGAACUCGUAGUACUUUUAUUCUUAUUUCAAUUUUAUUUUUAUCUUUCUUUUAUUAAGUGGAAAGAUCUUGAGCCUCUUUUGAUUGUUUAUUUUCUUUUUGUGUGUUUUACCUCGAUUUAAAUAUUUUAAAAGCCAACUAGAUCGGGUAUGUAACUGUGACUUUUAUGGGACUCGGGAAAUGCCUAACACAUUCUCCCCGAGUCAAAUGAACCCCCUUAUCUAGAAUUUCUGGCGCAGACUUAGUUUUAGAGUCCCAAGUGUUUUAAAAGGGAAAAUUGUUUUUAAACGGUGACCUAACACACCGAAACCAAAUGUCAGGUGACGACUCUGAAAUAUCUUUUAAAACACAAUUUUGUCACUUUUCAAAUUGAAAACCCUUUUGAGCUUCAAAAUCUUUUUAUUAUUUUAAAAGGGUUAAGUGAGGGUGAAAAAAGGGGUGUGACAGAAUUAUUAUUUGUGUUUAUUAUAUUUGUGAUUUCGGAUUUAGGUUGUGAUUCCGUUCACUCGUCUGUGUCCUUAUUAUGGUAUUCCGCUGUUACUUGUUAUUUCCUUCCUUAUUGUAAAUUUCAGUAUUGUUAGCCAUAUCGCGUAGUCUUUAUGUAGAUAUCAUGUUUUGUUGUUCCUAUACUUAUACUUGUCAGAUUAUUAAACCGAUAGGUAUCUUGACUGUUCCUCGUCGCUACUCCACCGAGGUUAGCCUUGAUACUUAAUGGGCACCGCUAUGGUGUGCUCAUACUACACUUAUGUAGAUUUUUUUAUACACAUCCAGGUAAUUGUUUGUUAGUAGCUAUACGGAUCGUUGCUGUGGAGACUCAAGGUAAAUCUGUUGCUGCAUUCGCAGGCUUCGGAGUCACCUUCCUAAUUUUGUAUUCACACUGUUUUACUUAUUUCCAAACAAUUGUAUUUAGAAGUUGUUGUAAACUAUGUAGAGCUUAUAACUUGUACUUUCGGUUUUGGAAAAUUGUAAAUUCUAUAAAGAUUUCUAUAUCGAGACUGUUAGUCUUUCUUAUUAUUGUUGAUAUUCAGUAAAUGUUAGGCUUACCUAGUCCAUAAGACUAGGCGCCAUUACGAUACCCAACAGAGGGGAAAUUGGGUCGUGACAGGUGUUUGUAUUGGCUUUUAAGCUAGUCAAAUUAACUUUUAAGCUCUUUUUAGCUUCUUUUUUUCGUUUUUGGCAAAGUUAAAAAGUGAUUAAAAUAAGUUAAAAAUUGCUUAAAACAAGCCAAAAGCAAUAAGUUGGUUGUCUGGCAACUCCAACUUAUUGCCUUUUGGCUUAAAAGCUAUUUCUACUGAAAAGUCACUUUUUUUAAGCCAAUCCAAACGGGCUUUAAGGACAAUUUCAUCAAGUACUGAUUCUAUUUGCUACUACCGCCUCGUGCCAAAGUCUCCAAUGCGUCACUGGAUUUGAUCUUAUAACAAUAUCAAUGGGAAACAUCCAAAGUAGUAAAAAGGAAAAGAAUGGUCCUGGUAAAGUACUAAUAAGUCAAUCUUAUGAAAUGUGAAUAUAGUUGCUUGAUUAUUUUCAGGGUAGCUUCAAUUUGCAAACAAGAUUUAAGAAAUUAAGAAAAAAAAGAGAUCGAGAAGGGCAUAUUCGAACAAGAUUUGAAGUGUAUGAGUUGAGAAUAUUUAUUUUUCUUUUGAAUUAUUGAGUUAUAAAUUAGAAAUUUGUACAUGUUUGAUGAUUUUUUAGAAUAAAUACAGAAUGUAAACAAAAGCUGCUGGUUGAGGGACGCAUAGUCGAAGCUCUACAUCUGCCUGACAGCGCGUGGGAAGGGUCUCCCUUUGCAUCUCGCUGAAUGUUACUAAAGGAAUAGAGAUGAGUUGUCUCUCUCUAUACUAUUUGUGUUUGAAUGUUCUUGCCUUUUCAAGUACUCUGAUGUUUUUCAUGUUGAC
rnacentral:lncRNA from 1 species